GAUGAAGAACGUAGCGAAAUGCGAUAAGUAAUGUGAAUUGCAGAAUUCAGUGAAUCAUCGAAUCUUUGAACGCACAUUGCGCCCCUUGGUAUUCCGGGGGGCAUGCCCGUUCGAGCGUCAUUAUAACCCCUCAAGCUCAGCUUGGUGUUGGGGCCUGCUGCACUGGCAGCCCUUAAAAUCAGUGGCGGCGCCAUCUGGCUCUAAGCGUAGUAAUUCUUCUCGCUAUGGAGUCCUGGUGGAUGCUUGCCAUCAACCCCCAAUUUUUCUAUGGUUGACCUCGGAUCAGGUAGGGAUACCCGCUGAACUUAAGCAUAUCAAUAAGCGGAGGA
rnacentral:misc_RNA from 1 species